rnacentral:rRNA from 1 species
UACGUAGGCAGCAAGCGUUGUUCGGAGUUACUGGGCGUAAAGGGUGUGUAGGCGGCCUUCUAAGUUCGGUGUGAAAUCUCCCGGCUUAACCGGGAGGGUGCGCCGGAAACUGGCAGGCUCGAGUGUGGGAGGGGAAAGUGGAAUUCCUGGUGUAGCGGUGAAAUGCGUAGAUAUCGGGAGGAACACCUGUGGCGAAAGCGGCGC